GAUGAACGCUAGCUACAGGCUUAACACAUGCAAGUCGAGGGGAAACGGCAUUUAGUGCUUGCACUGAAUGGACGUCGACCGGCGCACGGGUGAGUAACGCGUAUCCAACCUUCCCCAUUACUGUGGGAUAACCUGCCGAAAGGCAGACUAAUACCGCAUAGUCUUCGAUGACGGCAUCAGAUUUGAAGUAAAGAUUUAUCGGUAAUGGAUGGGGAUGCGUCUGAUUAGCUUGUUGGCGGGGUAACGGCCCACCAAGGCAACGAUCAGUAGGGGUUCUGAGAGGAAGGUCCCCCACAUUGGAACUGAGACACGGUCCAAACUCCUACGGGAGGCAGCAGUGAGGAAUAUUGGUCAAUGGACGAGAGUCUGAACCAGCCAAGUAGCGUGCAGGAUGACGGCCCUAUGGGUUGUAAACUGCUUUUGUAUGGGGAUAAAGUCAAUCACGUGUGAUUGUUUGCAGGUACCAUACGAAUAAGGACCGGCUAAUUCCGUGCCAGCAGCCGCGGUAAUACGGAAGGUCCGGGCGUUAUCCGGAUUUAUUGGGUUUAAAGGGAGCGUAGGCCGGAGAUUAAGUGUGUUGUGAAAUGUAGACGCUCAACGUCUGACUUGCAGCGCAUACUGGUUUCCUUGAGUACGCACAACGUUGGCGGAAUUCGUCGUGUAGCGGUGAAAUGCUUAGAUAUGACGAAGAACUCCGAUUGCGAAGGCAGCUGACGGGAGCGCAACUGACGCUUAAGCUCGAAGGUGCGGGUAUCGAACAGG
rnacentral:rRNA from 1 species